rnacentral:lncRNA from 1 species
UCUUAAUUAAUAUUUAAAUAGUACACCGUUUUAAAGUGUUUAAAAUUCUAGACAGUGACAUGAACCAUUAUUGAGCUAACAAUUAACCGACAGUUUCUAGAAACAUGUUAAUUUAAUUCUACAAGAUAACAAUGAAUCGUUAAUUUGAUAACGGUUAGCCGAUAUCUUCCAGAAAGAAGUGUAUUUGCUUAUUCGAUUCUGGAAGAGAAGGGUGAACUUUUUUUUAGAUAAUGGUGAACCGAUAUCAUCCAGAGAGGUAUAUGAUUGCAGAUAAAGAUCCGUUAAGAGCAAAGGUUAACUAAUAGCAAUUGCAAAGUUACUGGACAAACACGGCGAACCGACAUCCAGGUAAUGGUGAACCGCCAUUUUAAAUUUUAAAAUUUUGGGAAAGGUGUGUGAAUGAAACGGGCGGGAAAUUUUUAAAAUUUUUACUUUAUUUAAGACAUGUGACAUUAGUCGUCAAACAUGCAACCCUGAUGUCCAACAUGCAACAACUGACGUUAAACAUGAAACCAAUAAUAUUUUACAUCAAACAUGCAACAUAUCACGUAAAGCAUGCAACUUUGAUGUCAAACAUAAAACAAGCGAGAAUAUUCGGGAAUAUUCCCGAAUAUUCUUUAUUUUGGCUUUAUUCAAGACAUGCAACAUCUAACGUCAAACAUGCAACCUCGACGUCCAACAUGCAACAAUAGACGUAAAACAUGAAACCCGCAAGAAGUCACGUUAAAUAUGCAAUUUAUCACGUAAAGUAUGCAACUUUGAUAUCAAACAUGAAAUGGACGAGAAUAUUCGAGAAUAUUCUUUAUUUUGGCUUUAUGUAAAACAUGCAACAUCUAACGUCAAACAUGCAAGUUGAACGUCAGACAUGCAACAACGAACGUUAAACAUGCAACCUGCAACACUGUACGUGAAAUAUACAACUUAUCACGUAAAGUUUGCAACUUCGACGUCAAACAUGAAACAGACGAGAAUAUUCGUGAAUAUUCUUUAUUUUGGCUUUAUCCCAAACAUGCAACAUCGGACGUCAGACAUGCAACAACGGACGUUAAACAUGCAACCUGUAACACUGCGCGUGAAAUAUAUAAUUUAUCACGUAAAGUUUACAACUUCGACGUCAAACAUGAAACGGACGAGAAUAUUCAAGAAUAUUCUUUAUUUUGGCUUUAUCCAAAACAUGCAACAUCGAACGUCAAACAUGAAACCGGGACGACCGACAUGCAACAACGGACGUUAAACAUGCAACCUACAACACUGCACGUGAAUUAUACAACUUAUCACGUAAAGUUUGCAACUUCGACGUCAAACAUGAAACGGACGAGAAUAUUUAGGAAUAUUCGUUAUUUUGGCUUUAUUCAAAACAUGCAAUAUCGUACGUCAAACAUAAAAUCCAACCGUCGAACAUGCAACAACUGACGUUAAAUAUGAAACUUGCAACACUUCACGCGAAAUAUGCAACUUAUCACGUAAAGUUCGCAACUUCGACGUCAAACAUGAAACGGAUAAGAAUAUUCGGGAAUAUUCUUUAUUUUGGCUUUAUUCAAGACAUGCAACAGAUUACGUCAAACAUGUAACCGUGACGUCCGAUAUUCAACAAUGGACGUUAAACAUGAAACUUGCAACAAUUCACGCGAAAUAUGCAACUUAUCACGUAAAGUUCGCAACUUGGACGUCAAACAUGAAAUAGACGAGAAUAUUCGAGAAUAUUCUUUAUGUUGUCUUUAUUCAACACAUGCAACAUCUUAUAUCAAACAUGCAAUCGAGACGUCGGACAUGCAACAACUGGCGUUAAACCUGAAAUACUAUUUUUUUCAUUUUCAAUUUCUUUAUUUUUUUUCAUUUUAUUUAAUUAUAU